ensembl:lincRNA
CUGAAACAUUGGGACAGGCAGAGGCUGCAGGAGCAAAAGCAAACAGCAGAGGGAGCUUCUACCUUUACACUUUAGCCGCAUAGGAAGGCAUCCCCCAUCCCCCUCUUACUAAAACUAACCAUCAGCAGUAACAAAAACUGCUAUUUUGCUAGAUGCGAUUGAAACAAUGUGAGAAUAAAUAAACACAACCAAAGAAUUCCCAAGCUAAACAAAAGUUAGACAACCUAACAAGCCCAAAGUAGAUUGUUCCAAAGGAUAACUCCAUUCAGGUUAAUGAUCCUGCCCAGUGCGGAAGAGGAAGGCAUUCUGGGAAGGUGCUUCAGAGGUUCUGAGGCAGAAGGACUGGCCUGAAGACACUCUCCCAAGCACUCGUCUACCCUCACAUACUCAGUUAUCCACUACUAACAGAUGUCCACUCAACCUCUAAAUAUUUAGAAGAUGUGAAAGUACCACAUGGGACCCACUAUAAGUCCUGCUAUAUAGGACAGACGACUUCAAGUGAUGCAACUGGGAAUCAAUCCACAGUGGACCACCGAGGCAACAGCUAACUCUCCUUACCAACAUAUCCUGUCACCUAUCCUUCACACAGAGGAUGACGCCGAGUUUGAUGAAGUCCAGGAUCAGAUGGAAAAGAUGCGCAGCAGCCUUUGCCGGGUGAACAUCGACCAUCUCCAUGGAGGCUGGUACCAGUCCACGUCCUAUGUAUGGCUCAUUCGUUACCCGGGCGCUGCUGGACUCAGUUCAGCUACCAGUCCGCCACUGAAUAAUCUGUCGUUCGCAUUUACGAUCCCAUAAAAACUGCACAAGGGUCUCCCUCGCAUCCCUUUCCCAGCACACAGAGGAUGACGCCGAGUUUGAUGAAGUCCAGGAUCAGAUGGAAAAGAUGCGCAGCAGCCUUUGCCGGGUGAACAUCGACCAUCUCCAUGGAGGCUGGUACCAGUCCACGUCCUAUGUAUGGCUCAUUCGUUACCCGGGCGCUGCUGGACUCAGUUCAGCUACCAGUCCGCCACUGAAUAAUCUGUCGUUCGCAUUUACGAUCCCAUAAAAACUGCACAAGGGUCUCCCUCGCUAAAGGCGUACAGACUGACUUCUAAACUGAUGGAAGUCUGUAAAGAGAAGGACUUUUUCCCCCUGAAGCACUGAAAAAGGCAAAUAUCACCUUUGAGCACAAGUUUGAAGAAGUGCCAGUAGUAAUUAAAAACUCACAUCUGAUCAAUGUCCUGAUGUGGGAGCUGGAGAAGAAGUCAGCUGUGGCGGAGAAGCACGAAUUGCUCAGCCGCUAGCAGCAAUCAUCUGGGGAAGAAUCUGCAGUUGCUGAUGGACAGAGUGGAUGAAAUGAGCCAAGACAUAGCCAAGUACAACACAUACAUGUGGAAUACUAGCAAACAGCAGCAGCAGAAACAUCAGUACCAGCAGCGUUGCUGGCAGGACAAUAUGCAGCCUCAGAGUUGAAGAGAACCCCCUCUCCCAGAAGAGGACCGGUCCAAACUCUGCAAGCGACACCAGGCUCUUGAGAGGAUGGAUUCGUUGCUCAUUGCAGACCAGAUUAACACUUACUGCCAGAACAUCAAAGAGUUCACCACCCAGAACGUGGGCAAGCUCUUCCUGGCUCAGACUCUUCAAGAGUACAACAGCUAAGACAGGACAUUUCUCCCAGAAGAAAUACAUUUGUGUAUUGAAAACAUGGGAUCUUUAAUGUCAUUGCUAUUUUUGGCUGUAACAUCUUUCUAGCCAAUAAUAAAAAAAUUU